rnacentral:rRNA from 1 species
UACGAAGGGGGCUAGCGUUGCUCGGAAUCACUGGGCGUAAAGCGCACGUAGGCGGAUCUUUAAGUCAGGGGUGAAAUCCUGGAGCUCAACUCCAGAACUGCCUUUGAUACUGGGGAUCUCGAGUCCGGAAGAGGUAAGUGGAACUCCGAGUGUAGAGGUGAAAUUCGUAGAUAUUCGGAAGAACACCAGUGGCGAAGGCGGCUUACUGGUCCGGUACUGACGCUGAGGUGCGAAAGCGUGGGAGCAAACAGG